ACAAUGCAAACUAAUGUAAGCCAAAUUAUUAGGUCAAUAAAUAUCAACGUAUUUUGGCAUAAUACAUAAACGUGCUGUUUAACUUAGCCUUAUUUGACAUCUACACCCUUCAACUUUUGAUUUGUACAAGUAGACACUAAACUUAUAUAAAGUUGAACAAGUAGACACACACGUACUCCUACGCAACAUAAUACAUGUAGAAUAGCAAAUUAUCAUGAAAGACGUGUGUGUCUACUUAUUCAUUAUAUACCUACUUGUCCACACCCAGAAUUGGAGAAUGAAGACGUAUGUCUACUUAUUUAACUUUAUAUAAGUUUAAGUGGCAGACCAAAUUAAAAUCACCAAUCAUGUUUAAGUUGAUUUCUAUAAAUACUCCAAUCCAAAACCAAAACCCCAUAAUCCCAUGAUUCUUCACUUCUUCAAGAACCCAUUCUUCUUACUCAUUCACCAAAUCCAUUAAUCUUUUUUGAUUCUCUGUUUCAUCACCUCCCACUUCAAUUCUUGCUCAUAAAAUCUCAUUAGACGCGAAUUUAUAGCCUAAAUAUAGAGUACGCGAACUCGUAGAAUCUUCAUAAAACUAGGUAUAUUAUGUAUAUAUUUUCUAAAAUUAGUAUAAUAUUAUCUGUUGACAUCCCUACUAUGGUGCACCUGAUUGAAUAUUGAGUUAUUUACCUAUAUCGAGAUGAAGUGUUCCUAACAAAGUUGACUUUGUACUCAAAACUCGAACCUAAGAAGGCUAAUCUUGUCCUUCCAUCAUAAUUCAAAAGGAGUUUGAGAGAAUGAGGUCGAAGAGGAGGAGGAAGAAGCAAAAGGAGUAGACACCACGCUCCAUGGCGAUCAUCACUCCAACGAUAAGGAUUUUUGACAGGAGACUCUUGGUGAAAGACAGAACAAUAUUAACAAAUGUAACGGGCAAUGAAAUAACAACUUCUGGUACUGCAUCAAGUCCAUCAGAAGGUGUAUUUCUUGGUGCAGAAUUCGAUCAAGACAACAAUCGACAUGUUGUGCCACUCGGAAAAUUACAAGAUGUACUGUUCUUUUCUUGUUUCAGAUUCAAACUAUGGUGGAUAGAUCAGAAAAUGGGAAACAGAGGAAGUGAAAUCCCAAUGGAAACACAAUUUCUCCUAGUCGAAAUCAAAUAUGGAUAUGAUCACCUCUAAUCUAGAGGCAGAGCCAGGGGAAUCCUGGAAGCCGGCCUCGAAAGUCUCAGCACCGGUGGUUUCCAGCCAAAAUUCAUCAUCAUUGACGACGGGUGGCACUCCGUUGGUGGUGGUGAUCCUGGUAAAGAUAUGGCACCUGGGCCUAACUCAACCCCAAAAGCUAGCUCAUGAGGAGAGGAUUGCCCAAGUCCAUAUAAGGAGACCACUAGUCCAUUCCGCAACCAAUGUGAAACUUUUACCCACUCUAACAAUUCCCAGGUCUAACAGGGAUAAAGGAAAAUGAAAAAUUUCGGAAUAAGGAAGAUCCAACGGUUGGGAUUAAAAAUAUUGUUAGUAUAGCUAAAGAGAAAUAUUUCGAAUAUGGUUGUUUGGUACGAAGGGAAAUAUGUUUCGAAAAAUAAUUUCUAAUUCUUUCAUGUUUUAAAUGUUGGAAAAUGAGUCAUACCUGAAGUAAGGAAAAUAUUUCUCAAAACUCGAUGACUUUUAUCCAACCGAUCGAUCCAAUAGUUCACAUUGCUAGUGUGGCAUACAACAAUGUGUUAGUUCCUUGGAGAAAUUAUGCAGCCUGAUCAUUGGACAUGUUCCACUCUCUUCAUCCAGCGGCUGAGUAUCAUGGCUCAGCGAGGGUGUUGAGUGGUGGACCUAUCUAUGUUAGGUUACUAGCCCGGACCUUU